ACUUUUAUAGCUUAUAAAGAGCAGGACAUUGAAGAUGUCAAGGAGAUUAUUUAAUCUUAAAGUA
rnacentral:tRNA from 1 species